rnacentral:rRNA from 1 species
UGAAUCUAUAUGGCCCCUGGAUUGGACUGCGGCCGAUCAGGCUGUUGGUGAGGUAAUGGCCCACCAAACCUGUAACCGAUACGGGCUCUGAGAGGAGGAGCCCGGAGAUGGGCACUGGGACAAGGGCCCAGGCCCUAUGGGGCGCAGCAGGCGCGAAACCUCUGCAAUAGGCGAAAGCUUGACAGGGUUACUCUGAGUGAUUUCCGUUAAGGAGAUCUCUUGGCACCUCUAAAAAUGGUGCAGAAUAAGGGGUGGGCAAGUCUGGUGUCAGCCGCCGCGGUAAUACCAGCACCCCGAGUGGUCGGGACGUUUAUUGGGCCUAAAGCAUCCGUAGCCGGUUCUACAAGUCUUCCGUCAAAUCCACCUGCUUAACAGAUGGGCUGCGGAAGAUACUAUAGAGCUAGGAGGCGGGGGAGGCAAGCGGUACUCGAUGGGUAGGGGUAAAAUCCGUUGAUCCAUUGAAGACCACCAGUGGCGAAGGCGGCUUGCCAGAACGCGCUCGACGGUGAGGGAUGAAAGCUGGGGGAGCAAACCGGAUUAGAUACCCGGGUAGUCCCAGCUGUAAACGAUGCAGACUCGGUGAUGAGUUGGCUUAUUGCUAACUCAGUGCCGCAGGGAAGCCGUUAAGUUUGCCGCCUGGGGAGUACGGACGCAAGACUGGAACUUAAAGGAAUUGGCGGGGGAGCACCACAAGGGGUGAAGCCUGCGGUUCAAUUGGGGCAACGCCGGAAAUCUUACCGGGGGCGACAGCAGAGUGAAGGUCAAGCUGAAGACUUUACCAGACAAGCUGAGAGGAGGUGCAUGGCCGUCGCCAGCUCGUGCCGUGAGGUGUCCUGUUAAGUCAGGUAACGAGCGAGAUCCCUGCCUCUAGUUGCUACCAUUAUUCUCAGGAGUAGUGGAGCUAAUUAGAGGGACCGCCGUCGCUGAGACGGAGGAAGGUGGGGGCUACGGCAGGUCAGUAUGCCCCGAAACCCUCGGGCCACACGCGGGCUGCAAUGGUAAGGACAAUGAGUUUCGAUUCCGAAAGGAGGAGGCAAUCUCUAAACCUUACCACAGUUAUGAUUGAGGGCUGAAACUCGCCCUCAUGAAUAUGGAAUCCCUAGUAACCGCGUGUCACUAUCGCGCGGUGAAUACGUCCCUGCUCCUUCACACACCGCCCGUCGCUUCAUCGAAGUUGGUUCUUGGCGAGGUGGUGCCUAAUUGGUACUAUCGAACCUGGGGUCAGCAACGAGGGAG